rnacentral:rRNA from 1 species
UACGAAGGGGGCUAGCGUUGCUCGGAAUGACUGGGCGUAAAGAGCUCGUAGGCGGUUCGGUAAGUCGGGUGUGAAACCUCCAGGCUCAACCUGGAGACGCCACCCGAUACUGCUGUGACUCGAGUCCGGUAGGGGAGCGUGGAAUUCCUGGUGUAGCGGUGAAAUGCGCAGAUAUCAGGAGGAACACCAGCGGCGAAGGCGGCGCUCUGGGCCGGAACUGACGCUGAGGAGCGAAAGCGUGGGUAGCAAACAGG